rnacentral:rRNA from 1 species
GUCUGGCGGCGAGUGGCGAACGGGUGAGUAAUGCAUCGGAACGUACCUUUCAGUGGGGGAUAACGUAGCGAAAGUUACGCUAAUACCGCAUAUUCUGUGAGCAGGAAAGCAGGGGAUCGCAAGACCUUGCGCUGAUGGAGCGGCCGAUGUCAGAUUAGCUAGUUGGUGGGGUAAAGGCUCACCAAGGCACGAUCUGUAGCGGGUCUUAGAGGAUGAUCCGCCACACUGGAACUGAGACACGGUCCAGACUCCUACUGGAGGCAGCAGUGGGGAAUUUUGGACAAUGGGCGCAAGCCUGAUCCAGCCAUGCCGCGUGAGUGAAGAAGGCCUUCGGGUUGUAAAGCUCUCUCGGCCGGGAAAAAAUCGCUUGGGUUAAUACCCUGAGUGGAUGAUGGUACCGGAAUAAGAAGCACCGGCUAACUACGUGCCAGCAGCCGCGGUAAUACGUAGGGUGCGAGCGUUAAUCGGAAUUACUGGGCGUAAAGCGUGCGCAGGCGGUUUUGUAAGACAGGCGUGAAAUCCCCGGGCUCAACCUGGGAACUGCGUUUGUGACUGCAAGGCUAGAGUAUGGCAGAGGGGGGUGGAAUUCCACGUGUAGCAGUGAAAUGCGUAGAGAUGUGGAGGAACACCAAUGGCGAAGGCAGCCCCCUGGGCCAAUACUGACGCUCAUGCACGAAAGCGUGGGGAGCAAACAGGAUUAGAUACCCUGGUAGUCCACGCCCUAAACGAUGUCAACUAGGUGUUGGGUGGGUAAAACCAUUUGGUACCGUAGCUAACGCGUGAAGUUGACCGCCUGGGGAGUACGGCCGCAAGGUUAAAACUCAAAAAUUGACGGGGACCCGCACAAGCGGUGGAUGAUGUGGAUUAAUUCGAUGCAACGCGAAAAACCUUACCUACCCUUGACAUGCCAGGAACUUGCCAGAGAUGGCUUGGUGCCCGAAAGGGAGCCUGGACACAGGUGCUGCAUGGCUGUCGUCAGCUCGUGUCGUGAGAUGUUGGGUUAAGUCCCGCAACGAGCGCAACCCUUGUCGUUAAUUGCCAUCAUUUAGUUGGGCACUUUAACGAGACUGCCGGUGACAAACCGGAGGAAGGUGGGGAUGACGUCAAGUCCUCAUGGCCCUUAUGGGUAGGGCUUCACACGUCAUACAAUGGUCGGUACAAAGGGUUGCCAAGCCGCGAGGCGGAGCCAAUCCCAGAAAGCCGAUCGUAGUCCGGAUCGCAGGCUGCAACUCGCCUGCGUGAAGUCGGAAUCGCUAGUAAUCGUGGAUCAGCAUGUCACUGUGAAUACGUUCCCGGGUCUUGUACACACCGCCCGUCACACCAUGGGAGCGGGUUCCGCCAGAAGUAGGUAGCCUAACCGCAAGGAGGGCGCUUACCACGGCGGGGUUCGUGACUGGGGUGAAGUCGG